rnacentral:lncRNA from 1 species
AUUUCUAGUAAAAGCAGGAGUCCAACAUUCUGCCUAAUUGGCUUUUCUGUUUAAUUUACAGUACAUUAAGGAAAGGCUGGUCUGAAGCUCAGUAGUACCAUUGGUUUCCUCAUGGUUGCUUCAUUUUGAGCACGUCUCAGUACAAGGCAGUGCAUCUACACACUGAUUUAGCAAACUGCAUAUGAAAGGAGGGAUGUAAACAGACUUUGACUGUGCCUAUAUGGAGAUCUUGGACCCUGUUAUGCCUUGUAUUGAUCUGGAGGUCAACCAGAACAUGCUUAUUCUGGAGCAGAACAAUAAGAUGGAGAUAACAGAACAGGUACCUGAUCCCUUGGCUGAGUAUAAACUGAUGUUCUUGAUGAUCUGGGAAAAAAGAAAAGGCCCGCUGAAGUUCUUGGCUUCUAUGAUGUCUUGUGGCAUUCAACUCUUUAAACUAAAUCUGUAUAAUGAAAGCAAAUUUUCCUUUUCAAGAGGCUGGAAAUGCAUUACUUCACUAAAAAGUACCUUUUUUGUGUGUGAUAUGGAGCAUACAAACUGAUCCGUUGGAACGCAAAAUUAUAACGUACAGAUUUAUGCAAGAGGGAUGACUGCAAAGUGCGUUGCAUGAGUAGUGUAAGAAGCUGAAAAUUGCUGCUGUUGUAGCUGUCAUAGACAUGUUAUUUUCUUUGGUAUGUGUGGAGUUUUUGCUGUCAGGCUUUUAUCCUGCAGAUUGUUUGUGCUGCACCUCUCUUCCUGCUUAAAAUAGAAAAUCAGUCACUGAACCUGGAUACUAUUAAGUGUUCUUAGAAUAGUUCUUAACUAACUUGGUUGAUUUGUGCUUUCUGAUGAAAGAACAUUUGGUUGUUUAUUGCAGGCUCUGAACAAACAUGUUCUUCCAAAAUCAACAAAUAAAAUUACAUAUUGCAUUGCA